rnacentral:misc_RNA from 1 species
GAUGAAGAACGCAGCGAAAUGCGAUAAGUAAUGUGAAUUGCAGAAUUCAGUGAAUCAUCGAAUCUUUGAACGCACAUUGCGCCCGCCAGCACUCUGACGGGCAUGCCUGUUCGAGCGUCAUUUCAACCAUCAAGCCCCCAGGGGCUUGUGCUGGGGCCCUGCGGCUGCCCGCAGGCCCUGAAAACCAGUGGCGGGCUCGCUAGUCACACCGAGCGCAGUAGCACAUCUCGCUCAGGGCGUGCGGCGGGCUCCUGCCGUGAAACCCCCCACUGUAACCCCAAAGGUUGACCUCGGAUCAGGUAGGAAUACCCGCUGAACUUAAGCAUAUCAAUAAGCGGAGGA